UAUGCGAUACUUGGUGUGAAUUGCAGAAUUCAGUGAAUCAUCGAAUCUUUGAACGCACCUUGCGCUCCUUGGUAUUCCGAGGAGCAUGCCUGUUUGAGUGUCAUGAUAUUCUCAACUUGCAAGUUCUAUUGCGGGACUUUGCAUGGUUGGACUUGGAGGCUUGCUGGUGUUCAUGUAAACUCAGCUCCUCUCAAAUGCAUUAGCUUGGUUUCUAGCGGAUCGGCUGUCGGCGUGAUAAUUGUCUACGCUGCGACCGUGAAGUGUUAUGGCAAGCUUAUAGCCGUCUCUAGCAGGGACAUCUAUGAUUGACCUCUGACCUCAAAUCAGGUAGGACUACCCGCUGAACUUAAGCAUAUCAAUAAGCGGAGGAA
rnacentral:rRNA from 1 species